AUUGAACGCUGGCGGCAUGAUUUACACAUGCAAGUCGAACGGUAACAGGCCGCAAGGUGCUGACGAGUGGCGAACGGGUGAGUAAUGCAUCGGAACGUGCCCAGUCGUGGGGGAUAACUACUCGAAAGAGUAGCUAAUACCGCAUACGAUCUAUGGAUGAAAGCGGGGGACCGUAAGGCCUCGCGCGAUUGGAGCGGCCGAUGUCAGAUUAGGUAGUUGGCGGGGUAAAGGCUCACCAAGCCAACGAUCUGUAGCUGGUCUGAGAGGACGACCAGCCACACUGGGACUGAGACACGGCCCAGACUCCUACGGGAGGCAGCAGUGGGGAAUUUUGGACAAUGGGCGCAAGCCUGAUCCAGCAAUGCCGCGUGCAGGAAGAAGGCCUUCGGGUUGUAAACUGCUUUUGUACGGAACGAAACGGCUCUGGUUAAUACCCGGGGCUAAUGACGGUACCGUAAGAAUAAGCACCGGCUAACUACGUG
rnacentral:rRNA from 1 species